GUCACACUUUAGUUUAGAGAAGGAAGUAGCAAAUAAACACACCCAGCAGCAUUACCCGUGGUGAAAUACAAAAAUAAAUACCUCUGCCCGUGUGUAACACUGACGAAACACUGCUGCUAAACAGGGAUUAGAGACCCCUUUAUACAAGUGCUCAUUUUACUUUGCGGAGUACUAAAACUUACAUAGUCCAAACUUAAGCAACAUGGCGGUAACUUUAAUUUAGGGGAACUUACCCAGUAAAUGAUAACCACCAAGGUCAACCAACUGAGAGUAAAUCUUGUAUGCCGUCGUCGUCAGGUGGCAUUUGAUACCCCACCGUGAUUGCUACCAUAAAAGACAGAUCAAGGUGCAGACAAUCUCUCAGAUGAGGCGAGUUACAAUUUUAAUUACUAGCGGAUAGACUACGUAGGUAACAUCUGAAGGCGGACUUAACAGUAAUAAAAAAUACGAUUAACUUAUGAACCCUCUAAAGUGGUGCACAA
rnacentral:rRNA from 1 species